rnacentral:rRNA from 1 species
UGGGGAAUAUUGCACAAUGGGCGCAAGCCUGAUGCAGCCAUGCCGCGUGUAUGAAGAAGGCCUUCGGGUUGUAAAGUACUUUCAGCGGGGAGGAAGGGAGUAAAGUUAAUACCUUUGCUCAUUGACGUUACCCGCAGAAGAAGCACCGGCUAACUCCGUGCCAGCAGCCGCGGUAAUACGGAGGGUGCAAGCGUUAAUCGGAAUUACUGGGCGUAAAGCGCACGCAGGCGGUUUGUUAAGUCAGAUGUGAAAUCCCCGGGCUCAACCUGGGAACUGCAUCUGACACUGGCAAGCUUGAGUCUCGUAGAGGGGGGUAGAAUUCCAGGUGUAGCGGUGAAAUGCGUAGAGAUCUGGAGGAAUACCGGUGGCGAAGGCGGCCCCCUGGACGAAGACUGACGCUCAGGUGCGAAAGCGUGGGGAGCAAACAGG